rnacentral:rRNA from 1 species
ACUGCUAUCGGAUUGAUACUAAGCCAUGCGAGUCUUUGUAGCAAUACAAGGCAGACGGCUCAGUAACACGUAGUCAAUCUACCCUAUGGACGGGGAUAACCUCGGGAAACUGAGAAUAAUACCCGAUAGAUCAUUAUGCCUGGAAUGGUUUAUGGUCGAAAUGAUUUAUCGCCGUAGGAUGGGACUGCGGUCUAUCAGCUUGUUGGUGAGGUAAUGGCCCACCAAGGCUAUAACAGAUACGGGCUCUGAGAGGAGAAGCCCGGAGAUGGGUACUGAGACACGGACCCAGGCCCUAUGGGGCGCAGCAGGCGAGAAGACUUUGCAAUGUGCGAAAGCACGACAAGGUUAAUCCGAGUGUUUUCUGCUAAAGAAAUCUUUUGUCAGUCCUAAAAACACUGAUGAAUAAGGGGUGGGCAAGUUCUGGUGUCAGCCGCCGCGGUAAAACCAGCACCUCAAGUGGUCAGGAGGAUUAUUGGGCCUAAAGCAUCCGUAGCCGGCCGUGUAAGUUUUCGGUUAAAUCUAUACGCUCAACGUAUAGGCCGCCGGGAAUACUGCACAGCUAGGGAGUGGGAGAGGUAGACGGUACUCGGUAGGAAGGGGUAAAAUCCUUUGAUCUAUUGAUGACCACCUGUGGCGAAGGCGGUCUACUAGAACACGUCCGACGGUGAGGGAUGAAAGCUGGGGGAGCAAACCGGAUUAGAUACCCGGGUAGUCCCAGCUGUAAACAAUGCAAACUCAGUGAUGCACUGGCUUGUGGCCAGUGCAGUGCCGCAGGGAAGCCGUUAAGUUUGCCGCCUGGGAAGUACGUACGCAAGUAUGAAACUUAAAGGAAUUGGCGGGGGAGCACCACAAGGGGUGAAG